rnacentral:rRNA from 1 species
CGGCAGCAUAGGCAUGCAGUCGGGGGAUCCCAGCAAUGGGGGAACCGGCGUAAGGGGCAGUAAUGUGUGGGUACCUACCGAGGGGUUCGGGAUAGCCAUCAGAGAUGGUGGGUAAUACCGGAUGACGUCGUGAGACCAAAGAUUUAUCGCCCUUCGAGGGGCCCACAUGAUAUUAGCUAGUUGGUGAGGUAAUGGCUCACCAAGGCUAAGAUGUCUAGCGGGUAUGAGAGUACGACCCGCGCCACUCGCACUGAGACACUGGCGAGACACCUACGGGUGGCUGCAGUCGAGGAUCUUCGGCAAUGGGCGCAAGCCUGACCGAGCGACGCCGCGUGAGCGAUGAAGGCCUUCGGGUUGUAAAGCUCUUUAGUGGGGGAGAAAAGCCCGCGAGGGUGUGAUCUAUCCCAAAAAUAAGCACGGGCUAAGUUCGUGCCAGCAGCCGCGGUAAGACGAACCGUGCGAACGUUGUUCGGAAUCGCUGGGCUUAAAGGGCGCGUAGGCGGGCUGUCCAGUCUGGGGUGAAAUCCCGCGGCUCAACCGUGGAACUGCCUCAGAUACUGACGGCCUCGAGGGAGAUAGGGGCAUGCGGAACUGUAGGUGGAGCGGUGAAAUGCGUUGAUAUCUACAGGAACUCCGGUGGCGAAGGCGGCGUGCUGGAUCUCUUCUGACGCUGAGGCGCGAAAGCUAGGGGAGCAAACGGGAUUAGAUACCCCGGUAGUCCUAGCCCUAAACGAUGGGUACUAGAUAGUAGGCUAGAUAUGGGCUUACUGUCGAAGCUAAAGUGCUAAGUACCCCGCCUGGGGAGUAUGGUCGCAAGGCUGAAACUCAAAGGAAUUGACGGGGGCUCACACAAGCGGUGGAGCAUGUGGCUUAAUUCGAGGCUACGCGAAGAACCUUAUCCCAGACUUGACAUGU